rnacentral:rRNA from 1 species
UGGGGAAUUUGGACAAUGGGCGGAAGCCUGAUCCAGCAAUGCCGCGUGUGUGAAGAAGGCCUUCGGGUUGUAAAGCACUUUUGUCCGGAAAGAAAUCCUCUGGGUUAAUACCUCGGGGGAGUGACGGUACCGGAAGAAUAAGCACCGGCUAACUACGUGCCAGCAGCCGCGGUAAUACGUAGGGUGCAAGCGUUAAUCGGAAUUACUGGGCGUAAAGCGUGCGCAGGCGGUUUUGUAAGACGGAUGUGAAAUCCCCGGGCUUAACCUGGGAACUGCAUUCGUGACUGCAAGGCUAGAGUAUGGCAGAGGGGGGUAGAAUUCCACGUGUAGCAGUGAAAUGCGUAGAGAUGUGGAGGAAUACCGAUGGCGAAGGCAGCCCCCU